rnacentral:rRNA from 1 species
AUUGAACGAUGGCGGCAGGCUUAACACAUGCAAGUCGAGCGAGCGGCGGAAGGGUGAGUAAUGUAUGGGAAACUGCCUGAUGGAGGGGGAUAAAUACUGGAAACGGUAGGUAAUACCGCAUACCAUCAGAUGUGCCCAGAUGGGAUUAGCUAGUAGGUGGGGUAAUGGCUAACCUAGGCGACGAUCCCUAGCUGGUCUGAGAGGAUGAGCAGCCACACUGGAACUGGGACACGCUCCAAACUCCUACGGGAGGCAGCAGUGGGGAUUAUUGCACAAUGGGCGCAAGCCUGAUGCAGCCAUGCCGCGUGUGUGAAGAAGGCCUUCGGGUUGUAAAGCACUUUCAGCGAGGAGGCGUUACUCGCAGAAGAAGCACCGGCUAACUCCGUGCCAGCCGCCGCGGUAAUUC